GACAGAGGGUGCAAACGUUGUUCGGAUUUACUGGGCGUAAAGCGCGUGUAGGCGGCUUUGCAAGUCGGAUGUGAAAUCCCACGGCUCAACCGUGGAAGUGCAUCCGAAACUGCAUCGCUGGAGUCUCGGAGAGGAAGGUGGAAUGCUUGGUGUAGAGGUGAAAUUCGUAGAUAUCAAGCAGAACACCUGCGGCGAAGGCGGCCUUCUGGACCAUUGUUGACGCUGAGACACGAAAGCGUGGGUAGCAAACAGG
rnacentral:rRNA from 1 species